AUUGAACGCUGGCGGCAUGCCUUACACAUGCAAGUCGAACGGGGGUAGCAAUACCCUAGUGGCGAACGGGUGAGUAAAGCAUCGGAACGUACCCAGUCGUGGGGGAUAACGUAGCGAAAGUUACGCUAAUACCGCAUACGUCCUGAGGGAGAAAGCGGGGGACCGUAAGGCCUCGCGCGAUUGGAGCGGCCGAUGUCGGAUUAGCUAGUUGGUGGGGUAAAAGCCUACCAAGGCGACGAUCCGUAGCUGGUCUGAGAGGAUGAUCAGCCACACUGGGACUGAGACACGGCCCAGACUCCUACGGGAGGCAGCAGUGGGGAAUUUUGGACAAUGGGGGAAACCCUGAUCCAGCCAUGCCGCGUGAGUGAAGAAGGCCUUCGGGUUGUAAAGCUCUUUCGGACGGAAAGAAAUCGCACCGAUGAAUAAUCUGUGUGGAUGACGGUACCGUAAGAAGAAGCACCGGCUAACUACGUGCCAGCCGCCGCAGUAA
rnacentral:rRNA from 1 species